rnacentral:rRNA from 1 species
UACGUAGGGGGCAAGCGUUGUCCGGAAUCAUUGGGCGUAAAGCGCGUGUAGGCGGUCCGGUAAGUCGGCUGUGAAAGUCCAGGGCUCAACCCUGGGAUGCCGGUCGAUACUGCCGGACUAGAGUUCGGAAGAGGCGAGUGGAAUUCCCGGUGUAGCGGUGAAAUGCGCAGAUAUCGGGAGGAACACCAAUGGCGAAGGCAGCUCGCUGGGACGUUACUGACGCUGAGACACGAAAGCCAGGGGAGCGAACGGG